rnacentral:rRNA from 1 species
CCUACGGGAGGCAGCAGUGAGGAAUAUUGGUCAAUGGUCGGGAGACUGAACCAGCCAAGCCGCGUGAGGGAUGAAGGUACAGAGUAUUGUAAACCUCUUUUGUCAGGGAACAAAGGCGGGGACGCGUCCCCGGAUGAGUGUACCUGAAGAAAAAGCAUCGGCUAACUCCGUGCCAGCAGCCGCGGUAAUACGGAGGAUGCGAGCGUUAUCCGGAUUUAUUGGGUUUAAAGGGUGCGUAGGCGGCCUGUUAAGUCAGCGGUCAAAGCCCGGGGCUCAACCCCGUCCCGCCGUUGAAACUGGCAGGCUCGAGUGGGAGAGAAGUAUGCGGAAUGCGUGGUGUAGCGGUGAAAUGCAUAGAUAUCGCGCAGAACUCCGAUUGCGAAGGCAGCAUGCCGGCUCCACACUGACGCUGAGGCACGAAAGCGUGGGUAUCGAACAGGAUUAGAUACCCUUGUAGUC